rnacentral:ncRNA from 1 species
GAAAAGGCUGUGAAGGGAAGAGUACGCAAAAAGGGAAGCUUUCAGAGACCCCGGAUGGUGCGAGCGGGGAGCGGAGCUUUUGCAGAAGAUGGUCCCGGAGCUGCGCGGCUGAAGGAGCUGCCGGUAAAAGGGCAGAGAGUUGAGGCCGCGACGGAAGCGCCCGUUAGCGCGUCAGGCUGUUUAAGGCAGCCGGUGAGGGGGAUCCUGUGAGGGAUCUCUGAAUUAAAGUGGUAACACGAGGGAGAACUCGUCUUUAAG